GUUUUUUUUUGCUUUUUGU
rnacentral:sRNA from 1 species